AGGGCCGAGAGAAGGCGUGGUUAUUGUGCCGAUGGACGAUUCAGACGGUCUCCUCUCGUGACCAUCGGGAAGUGCCGGAGGACCCGCUUGGUGCGAGUGGGAUCGCGCUCCGGCUGGAGAGGCCCGUGGUCGCUGUGGGCGCACGCCCUGCCCCGCCCCCUCUCCGGCACGCAGGCUCCGCUCGAGCUUGCGCACGCGCGCGCGCUCCCGUUCAAGCCUCAGUCUGACCAGCGGCGGCCCGGCGGGUGGAGGCUGGGCCCCUGAGGUACGAGGGGAGGGGCCGGAGCUGCUGCAGCUGCCGCCGCCACCGCCCCGCCGCCGCCGCCGCCGCUGCUGCUGGAGAGAAGCAUGUCUGCAACUCGAGCCAAGAAAGUGAAGAUGGCCACCAAAUCGUGCCCCGAGUGCGACCAACAGGUUCCUGUUGCAUGUAAAUCUUGUCCCUGUGGUUAUGUAUUUAUUAAUAGGAAACUUCUAAAAGUAAAACAGAGAAAUCAUCACCUUUUACAGAAGUGAACAGUACCAUAUCUUUGAAAGCUUUGAGAAUACUAUUUUUAUAUGAAUUUAAACUAGGACAUAGUGCAGCCACAGCAAGUAGAAACAUCAAUUCUGUAUUUGGAAAAGGCUCUGUUAGUGAAAGGACUAUCCGGUGGUGGUUUGAAAAAUUUCGUUCUGGGGAUCUGAGUCUGAAAAAUGAGCCUCGAGGGAGACCCAGAUCUGUUUUAAAUGAAGAUCAGUUGAGAGCCAUGGUGGAAGCUAACCCCAAAACAGCAAUUCGAGGCCUUGCAGCAGACUUAGGGGUUUCUGCUACAACAAUUUCUCGACACCUGGCUGCAAUAGGAAAGGUGAAAAAGUUGGACAAGUGGGUAGGUAACACCAACUGAUGGAUAAUCAUAAACUGAGAUGUUUAGAGAUGUGCUUAUAUACCUGAAGAUUUGAAAGAGCAGAGACCUAUUUUGGAGAAUAUCAUAAGCUUUGACAAAAAAUGAAAGUGGUCUGGACAAUGGUUGGAUGUUGAAGAAGUUCCCAAACGUGUUAAAACCAUCAUUGCAACCAAAAAGAAGGUUCUGGUAACUGUAUGGUGGUCUGCAAAGAGAGUAUUUCAUUACUUUUAACUCAGGCAAAACUAACAGUAGCAUCUUAUUGUCAAGAAGUUGAAAUUAUGUAUCAAAAAUUGAUCUAAAAGCACUCUGCAUUGGUUAGCAGACAUGGAUGGACAUACACUUUUCCAUGACAACAUUUGAUCACUGAAAUCCCAGACCACCAUAGGGAAUGACUGCAUUGGGCCAAGAACUUUUGCCAUAUCCAUCACACCUAUCUGACCUUUUUUCAACAGAUUACCACUCUGUCAUCAUUUGGAACUCUAAGAAACAGAACAUUCUCUAAUAGACAACAGUAAUUGAAGGAUUUGAAUAAAUUUUAACAAUGCUGAAUUUUAUAAAUAUAUAGUAUUUGGAGAAAUUUAUCAUUGGGGGAAAGCAGUUAAUGCUAACAGUGCAUAUUUUGGUUGAAUAAAACUUUUCUUUUCCUGAAAAAUACAACAUUUUCAUUUUUAUAUAAAGGCAGUUUCAUAGAGCUCAACCUAGUACCUUCCCAGAUCCUGGCAGAACAUGAAGACUGAAAGAUACGUAAUGUACUGGAAAACUACAAGCUGCCCCUGAGUUUUGGGCUUCUUCAUUGGAGGAAUGUGGAACAACCCAGAGUAUAGGUAUGUGUGAAGGAUGCUUAGGACUCAGCCAUGCAAAAAUCUGGGUAAAGAGGGUUUUAGGGAGAUGAGCAACCUCGUCAAAAGCUCUCAGAAAAUAUUUUUUGAAUAAAGAAAUGAAAGCAUGUUUCUAACACAAAAGCCGUGCACAUGGUAGACAUGCAUGGCACAGUGGUGUUUUUGAGUGAUAAUACUUAUUCUGUCACACAAAGCCAGUCCCUUCUUUCGUGUGUUUUCCACUCUGAUUCUUUAAGAAAAAUGUAAGUGGCCUAUCAGAUCAUAAUUAAUGGCCUCUUUAUGAUUGUGUAGCUAGAUUGCAGUUACUCCUUCUGGCAUCCAGGGAUAAAGUUGGGGUAAAGAUACUGGGAUGGUCCUCUUCCUGCCUCUCUCCCUCCUGGUGAUCUGCUGUGUCUCAUCUGUGAAGGAGAAUUAAGGAAUCCUAAAAGCUAAGAGGUGAGAGAAGGACAUCUGGAAUGGAUCUUACCUGGAGAGAGACAGACAGAGGGAAGGAGGGAAGGCGAGGAAUGGAGGGAAAGAUGGAAUGGAAAUCCCCUAAAGUAGAAUUUGACUAUGAGCCAAAGAUUUAAAGACCAUGGGAUGCAUUACUGCAAAUUAAAAAAAAAAAAAAGUCCCUUCCUUUGAGUAGAAGCAACCCAGUACUAUGACACAAGAUUUGUAAGUAGAGUGUCUUUCAGUUCUAAUUUACUCCCCUGGCUGGGUGCCCUGGUCUGGAGUCACCUCAUUUUACUGCUCCAUCCUUGGGUUGUCACGGAAUCUAUUCAGUGUUUUUGUGGACUCCUGCUUACUCUAAAGAGUGAAGCCUGAGAUUUAGCUCAGACUGAUAGGGUAACAAGGCCAAAACCAGAAGUGUGGGAAGGACUUUAUAUGAAAGGCAGCAAGCACAAGGGUGAAGUCAAAUGGUCACAGAGGACCAAUGUGAAAGAAAGUGGUAUUGUAUAGUUACUUAGUCUGGGUAGUCGUUGCUUUAUCAUCCAUCCUUCCCUCAAUUCUCAGACCCCUUGUCAGACUUCCAGACUUGGUCUAAAACAGCAGAUAUCCCUGUUCAGCCCAAAUGAGUGGUUUCUUCCAAAAAAGAACCCGUGAAAUGUGAUGAGAUGGAAAGGAGCAGUUAUAGGAUGUUGAGUUAUCCUAUCAGUCAUCCUUACCACCUCCAACAAGGGGUGUAGAUUUGAGAGGCAGAAAUGGAUCCUGUAGUUCUUGUGAGCAAGCACAUGGAUUGAGUUGUGCCUGUACUACUAUUAAUGUAUUUUGGUUAUGUGAGAUAGUAAAUACCCUUUUUGCUUAAGCCAUUUUGGAGAGCUAGGCUUUCCAUUUUGGCAAAAGAAAGAUUCCUGACUGAUAGAUACUGUCCCUGAGUCUUACUUAACUAUGAAAUGAAGUUCAUGAUACUACCUUGCAGGGUUUGGGGAGGAAGAGGGACAGUUAAUAUAAAGCACAGGCACAGAGUAGAUGCCCAGUAGAUAUGAUUUAAUACCAUGAAAAGUAGAAGCAAACAAGGCAAAGUAAGGUGUGUGGGAUACCUCUGGAGGCCCCUCUGUGUCCAGGGCAGGCCAGUUGAGCUGAGUUCAGUGCUCAGUGAAGGCUGGGGCCUGGCUUGGACUGUCUAGAGGUUUGCAGCUGUAAAAGAGAGCUGACUUCUUCAGUCACUGUGAGCCUGUGGCUUUUCUGCAGUAAGUGCUCCCUGACCCAGGGCAUUAUUGGCCCCAUAGGAACAAAAGAAAAGCUCUCUUUCAGGACAAAGAUGAGGCUUCUCAUUUUUUUUGUCUUUACUUUGUCUUUUUUUUUUUUUUAAGAUUUUAUUUUUAAGUAAUUUCUACACCCAGUGUGGGGUUUGAACUCACAACCCCGAAAUCAAGAGUUGCACACUUCCACAGACUGAGCCAGCCAGGCGCCCCAUGGCAGUUAUUUGUAUCUUUUUUUAAAUCAUUCCUUUUUGAAAAUAUGGAAUAUAAAUGUCAACAGACUCAACAUGGAAUGAUGACAUUUUCAUCAUUAUGAUGAUCAUCUUUCUAUUACCUUGGAAAAGUAGGAACUGUAGCUUUUAAUUUGUAAGUAUUUAGGAGCUAUAUUGGAUUUUCAAGAAAAAUGAUAAAUUUUAUACACACCAAGUUCUGCCAAGCAUCCUAGUACUCUUAUUCUCCUUUCCCAGAAAAGAAAACAAAGCUUUAAAAAGCUCCUUGGUUGAGUAUCGAAAGAAAGGAGUGGAGGUAGAGGUUGCUACAUCUCAUCUCCCCACCAUGUCCCUGAGGUAGCUUGGGUCCUGAUUGCAAAAGGGAGUAAGAAGUGGCUUUGAGGGGCGCCUGGGUGGCUCAGUCAGUAAAGCAUGCAACUCUUGAUCUUGGGGUAAUGAGUUAGAGCCCCAUGUUGGGGGUAGAGUUUACUUAAAAACAAAAGACAAAAAAAGGUGGCUUUGAAUUUUGGUUUAUUAUGUACAUAAUAGCUGUUAUUAAAGAAGCUCCUGCCUUGGUCUAAUUGCUUACAGUGAGACUAGAGCACCUACAGCCACUUUGUUUGUUUUUCAUAGCUUAUGCUAUUAAAAGUACAACUGAUUGUACACUGAAAUAUUCAGGGACCUCUGAAUAAAUCAACUAGUUAGCAAAUUCAGUAUUUUCAGACAGGGCAAUUUUUUUAAUUAUGUUAGCACCAUACAGUACAUCAUUAGUUUUUGAUGUAUGUUCCAUGAUUCAUUGUUUGCGUAUAACACCCAGUGCUCCACGCAGAAC